rnacentral:rRNA from 1 species
UACGUAGGGUGCAAGCGUUAAUCGGAAUUACUGGGCGUAAAGCGUGCGCAGGCGGUUUUGUAAGUCUGUCGUGAAAGCCCCGGGCUCAACCUGGGAAUUGCGAUGGAGACUGCAAGGCUUGAAUCUGGCAGAGGGGGGUAGAAUUCCACGUGUAGCAGUGAAAUGCGUAGAGAUGUGGAGGAACACCGAUGGCGAAGGCAGCCCCCUGGGUCAAGAUUGACGCUCGAUGCAGAAA